GGAUUCUCUUUGGCCCAGCUUUCUUUGGAUUCUUCUUUUAGAUUGGAGAGUUUGGUGUACCUAUAGCUUCUCUUGUCUUCUAUCCUUAUUUUAUGCUUUCUUCUCUGUUUCCUAUCAUUGAAAUCUAUAUUCUUAAUCCCGGUUUACAAAUCUACUUACUGUUGUUUUUUACCCUGUUGACCACUGCUAAUUAUUAUUAUACGCUGAAUCUUUCCCUACCAAAGAAAAUAAAUAUAUACGGUGAAUCUUACUUAAAAACGUAUAUAUAUAGUAGGAUUGUGAAAAGAAAAAGAAAAAAGCUUCAGUAUGAACAAAACUUGAACUCAAAGUGAAGACAACUUACUUAUUGCACCAGUACUUAAAAAAUGAUUUAUCCAGGCCUAUAUUUAUUAUCUCCUAACAGCCCAUCUCAGCCCACCAGGUUGACGGUAGGAUCAAUUGUUGUAUAAUGGAUUAGUGUUUUUUUUGUUUGUGUGUCAUUGUGUGCUGCUGUUUACUCACCAUCUAGACGUUACAAAUGUGUUGAUUUUGAUCAAAUAUCGAACUUCGCACUAAUAACCGAAUCUCUGUUAAAGUUUUCACGUUUUUUGGUGUCUCGGUUUUUCUAAUGUC